rnacentral:rRNA from 1 species
AGCCACCGCUAUUGGAAUCCGAUUAAGACAUGUGAGUCGAGAGUCUUCGGGACUCGGCAGACGGCUCAGUAACACGCGGAUAAUCUGCCCUUGGGUGGGGAAUAAUCUCGGGAAACUGAGCAUAAUACCCCAUAGGCCUGAGAUGCUGGAACGCCCUCAGGCAAAAAGCUCCGGCGCCCAAGGAUGAGUCUGCGGCCUAUCAGCUUGUAGUUGGUGUAAAUGACCAACUAGGCGACGACGGGUACGGGCAUUGGGAGAUGUAGCCCGGAGAUGGACUCUGAGACACGAGUCCAGGCCCUACGGGGCGCAGCAGUCGCGAAAACUUCACAAUGUGGGAAACCGCGAUGAGGGGAUUCCAAGUGCUUGCGUUUUGCGUAAGCUGUUCUCCUGCCUAAAAAGCAGGGGGAGUAAGGGCUGGGUAAGACGGGUGCCAGCCGCCGCGGUAAUACCCGCAGCCCAAGUGGUGGUCGAUAUAUUGAGCUUAAAGCGUCCGUAGCCUGUCUGGUAAAUUCUUGGGUAAAUCGUGCAGCUUAACUGUCCGAAUUCCGGGGAGACUGCCAGACUUGGGACCGGGAGAGGUUGGAGGUACUCCUGGGGUAGGGGUAAAAUCCCGUAAUCCUGGGAGGACCAUCAGUGGCGAAGGCGUCCAACUGGAACGGAUCCGACGGUCAGGGACGAAGCCCUGGGUCGCGAACUGGAUUAGAUACCCAGGUAGUCCAGGGUGUAAACGCUGCAGACUUGGUGUCGGAGGUCCUACGAGGGCGUCCGGUGCCGGAGAGAAAUUGUUAAGUCUGCCGCUUGGGGAGUACGUCCGCAAGGAUGAAACUUAAAGGAAUUGGCGGGAGAGCACCGCAACGGGAGGAGCGUGCGGUUCA